AUAAUACAUUAUUUAUAAAUAUACAGUAGAAAUAUCGAACUACAUUGACGUUAAAAGAAAGCUGAGAUUCGCAGCACGUUCAUGUUUUAUACAUUCCACUUUGCAAGUUCGGAUCCCAAAAAAAAGAUCUCAAAGCUUGCAAUAAUAAGGUUUAAACAUCUACAUGCCUUGCAUAUAGCAUUUUCGUUUGUUUAUCGCCCUUCACCAACAUAAUUUACACUAGAAGAUAACAUACAUCUGCACAAAGAGGGAAAGAAGUUGGGCUCUGACCACCUAAAAAGACUGAAUAAUCUUCUGGAGAAGAUCAGUUUCCUCGAGUUCUGUACAUGAGGGAAGGCACUUGGAUCCAGCCGCCUAAAAUACUAACUGAACAAUCUUCCCCAAAGACGAGGUGCCUCAAGUUUCGAGUCGCCUUUAUCGAGUAGUGGAUGGAAGCGGAAGGGGAAGGGGGAGGGGAAGAGAGAGGGGGAGUAUCGCUUCAUGAGACAAUGGUGAUGUUACUGCACUUAAAAUCUCUUCCCUCUCCCUUUCAGGAACAAAUACUUGUCGCUCUUCCUUAGGUAAUGGAUCAUAGACGAAGGAUAGAUCCCUAUUAGCUGAGAGAGCAAGUAGCUCCUUCUCCUCCAGCCCUUUGGUGGGACACAAGCUGCAACGAUCCGGACUGUGCUUCGCCAGAGCAUCUUUAAAUUUCUUGAUCUGUCAUGAUAUCAUCAACAUCACUAUGAGUAUGGUUUCAGAGUAAGAUUGCGCAAAGAAAAAGAAAUAACGUGUGAACACAAGGCCACAUAGCCGGGGCAAGCAUUACUAAGAACUUAACAUCGUUGCAGGACUUGUAAACUCUCAGCUUCAACCCAUAUAUCAGGUAAGUAAAGAAAAGUAACAAACAGGGGAACAAAGGUAUAAGACUCACCGUGGCAUUGGUACAACUAAAACUGCACAGACGACCAUGAGCACCUCUAUAAAAGCGGAAGAAGGGAAGGACAUGGAUAUUAAGAGCAUAGCACAUAGCCUUGUGCUCAUCAUAAUUAACCUGCAGGAACUGCACGUGCGGAUUCAUCUCCGCCAAUUGACAUAUCUGUGGUUCCAAAAACACAACCCUGAUUGAUUAUUAACAAACAUACCUCUAGACAAAAUGAUGAUCAAUUGAUUUUGUCUUCAAUCAAAACAUCAGUCAAAAUUCAACAAGCACAAGCCUAAAAUGUUUGGUUGUACCUUGGGAUGAAGAGCUUUGCAACCUCCACAGCCGGGGGAAAAGAAAUCAACUACAACAAGUUUAUCCCCAGCAUGCAAAAGGGAGUCAACCAGGUCUUGGGCACCAGUCACCUCUUUCAUAUUAGGUAGAACCCCUUUCUCCCACCACUUCUGAGCUUUCCCAAUUGCAAAGCCCACCUGUAUACACACACAAUUCAAAGGUUAGAAUUAUCCUUAAGAUUUAUGCACCAAUAACAAACCAGAAUGCUACAACCUAAGAGCCAAAUCAAUCAUGGAACCUGAAAAUUGAAAUCAAACCAUCGGAAACAUAUUCACAAAUUAAUUAACCAGGGAAACAGAAAGACUAUAUUUUUGCAUAGGUAUGAAAACUUCUGUUAGGACAGUUGUAGGGAUAUAACUUAAAUAAAUAAAGCAGCAACACAACCAUCCACAAGUUUAUUCGUAUAAAAUGCAAUCGUUUAAUUUGUCAAGUUAAAUUUUAAUUGACCUGGAGAAAGAAAAAGGAAUUCUCCUUUCAAGCAAAAAUAUGUUCAGACGGAAAUGAUCAAUCUUUCAUAAGGCAGGCAAAAUUCAACUCUUUGAAAAAAGGUAUAGAAACGCUGCUUCAGAUCAGGUGGGGGUGGUGUGGUGAAACGCAAUGAAGAGAGCUGGCUUUCUGCUCAGAUUUUGUGAAUUGAAUCGAUAUAAUAAUGCCAAACCCCAUCAUAUUUUGUAGUAUCUAACAUGGAUGGUGUCAAUUUAAUAAAAUAAAAAGAAACGGGCAAAUACACCACAAAUUCAAUUUCAAAUCUGCACUACAUAAUUGAAAUAAUUGAAGAGUAUUGAGGACAAAUAACAAACGUGGGCAUUAGGAGGCGGUGGUCGAGGAUUUCGUCUGAUGGCUCCGAUGUUUCCACGGGCGAAAAAUUCGGCGCUUGCAAUAAUAAGGUUUAAACAUCUACAUGCCUUGCAUAUAGCAUUUUCGUUUGUUUAUCGCCCUUCACCAACAUAAUUUACACUAGAAGAUAACAUACAUCUGCACAAAGAGGGAAAGAAGUUGGGCUCUGACCACCUAAAAAGACUGAAUAAUCUUCUGG
rnacentral:lncRNA from 1 species